rnacentral:lncRNA from 1 species
UCAGUGCAUUGUAAAAUUAUUUAUUAUCCCCCCCCAUAAUAAUCUGAAGACAGCUUCUGAAAUGAGAAGUGUUUUGUCCAAUUCAGUAGAAGGUCAAUUCUAGGAGCCCCGCACUGAAGACUAAGGCGAACGGAGAGUUCUAGCUGCCAUGAACUGAAAACACCGUCUGGCAAGAGCCCCCUUUCCACACAGGACUUCACACUGAGAAGGAUUACUGAGAGUGAACUUAAAAUUGGUUGGAAUCAAGGUUGUGGCAGUUCUCCACCAUCCCAAGAUAAAGCACAUCCCAGUGACUUGCGCUGACCUAGGAAAAGUGGGCAUCAUUGGGAGAAGGUCACUCUGAUGUGAUGGAAAGGCAGAAAUCAAUGAUGGCUGGCUCCUCAGUGAUAUGAGUCAAUCCAUCAGACAGAAUGAUGGCAGUCACCCAGCCUUCACAGCCACCACCACCAUGCUGGCAAAUGUCACAUUUGGAAUUCAUUUGCAUAGCUGGGUAGCACUCCCUGUGGAGUUACAUUGAACAAUUUUGCAGCUGUGACAGCUUGAAAUAGAAAAGCUAAUGCAGCUAUCAACUUCCGCUGUGCCUUGUUUCCUUAAAAUCUAGCUGGGAAAUCUUGUUACAGAAAGGAGGAAGAUCACGUAAAAUGGAAGGGAAACUGGUGCAAAGCUUUCAGGGCAGACCAUAUUACUCACGGAUUUCACCUCAGUUCCAUUGGUGCUUGACUCUUCAGUGGGUCAGCUUGGGUAUACAGGUGCGUAUUCCAUGUGCACACACAUAAUACUCCUUACAGUGCAGCUGAAAUGUGAAAAUAAGACAAGUUUGUGUUAAACCAUUGACUUGGGGAAAAUCUCUGAGGAAUCUCAAUUUUACCCUAGUUGUUAGGAAGAUAUAUUUUUUAAGGUAGAAGGAUAGAGAAUAUUUUAUGUAACAUUCUGGUGGCUUGAGUUGUAAUCUUUUAAUAAGUAUACAUAUUAAAUAUGAACUUAGUAAGUCUCAGCAAUGGUAGGGGCCUGAAUGAAAAAAAGACUGUCAAUCAAGAAUACUAUAUACAAUAAAGCCAUCUUUUGGAAAUGAAGGAGAAAUAAAGUCUUCCUCAGACAAGCAAAAACUGGGGGAAUUUGUCACAAUGAGACCAAUCCUACAAGAUAUACUAAAGGAAGUACUACCUUUGGAUGAAAAAGUAUAGAGUCUGCAAUUAUGAAAACACACAAAAGUAUACAACUCACUGUUAGAGCAGAUAUAAAAAUAAGAAAGAGAAAAGAAUAAGUUGUCACUACAGAAAAACCAACAAAUAGCAAAGAUAAAUAAUAAGAAAGGAAGAUAAGAAUGAACGAUAUACACAA